GGGAUUUCUCUCCCCCCAGCCCCACUCCCGCCCCAUCUAUCUGCGCGCCCCACCGGGGAGAAGCGAUCGUUGAAAAUGAAGGGGAAGAAUGAGAGCGCUCGGGAAGUGAGUCUCAAAAUCUUUUUUACAUCGUGGUGACAAAAACUGGAUGCAGUAUUCCAAGUGUGGCCUUAUAAAGUGGUAUUAACACUUCAUGUGAUCUUGAUUCUAUCCCUCUGUUUAUGCAACCUAGAACUGUGUUGGCUUUUUUGGCAACUGCUGCACACUGUUGGCUCAUAUUUAAAUGGUUGUCCACUCCAAGAUCCCUCUCACGGUUACUACUAUUGAACAAGCCUCCCUCCACUACAAAAUGACAGAUUGACAACAAUAAGGAUCUACAUGGAGUUUCUUAAAUCUGUAGACUUGUUCUCCAGGUCAGUGAAAGCUCUACUUUUGUUUUCAGCAGGACUGAAAUUGUCUUUUGGGACUUGAUUACUUCACUUAUGUGGGAGAAGGCCUCCAUCUGCCAGGCCACAGAAGGAAAAUAACCCAAGAUGAGGAAUCUCAGCAUACGAAAGCAGGAAAAACACUUCCUUGUUCCUGUGGCCUAAAAAUUGGCUAAUAUUCUUGAGAAUAUAUGAUGAAAUCGCAUUAGAACUGCACUCUUUAACCAGGAGAGCUAUUUAUUGUCACGUAUCAGAGCAGUUCAUGAGUCAGAUCUCCCAUUUUGUUUCAUUUUGUCUAAAACCAUGGGCCUUAGCAAGAGACAACUAAGGAAGUUGCUAUUCCAACCCAAAUACAUGUCCGAGAUGAGCAUUUUCUCCAUAUUGAUGGUGUUUUAAGUUCCUGCCUAAAACAGAUACUCUUAAUCUAUCUCGAAGAUCUAUCUCCAAGGCUUGUCAAAUGCACUGCCUCACUUGAGUAUUACUUGAGUAUUUCUUAGAGUCCUUGCAGAAGAAGAAAAGGGAGAGAAAAUGGCAGAGAACUUUGACACUGCCUAUGAUCAGCCAUCCUUUGUCUCCCUGAAGGGGCACUAGCCAUCACUUGAACAAGCCUAUUUGCCUAGAGACAUAACAGAUAGGCAAGAUGAUAUUGUGGCAUCCCCUAACAUGGCAGAAGGGCCCAGGGAAAAGGACAUUAGGGGAGUCACUUACUUAAACUGCCAGAGGAAAGGUGGAUGCAGGAAAAGCCUCCUGCAAGGCAAUCUGGAUUCCUAGUAAUGUUGAGUCAAUUAAAUAUUGGAGGUAGGAAAGAAUUGCCAUUAUGGAAGCGGUUGGAACUGUGUAAAUUACUGGACGCUUGCAAGCCAUUUUCCUUUCAUUUUGCUUGUUCCUAAUAAAAAUGCAUGAGUUUGGUCCAUA